AGUUUAAGGAAAUAAUCUUAAAUGUAUUCUGCCCAGUGAUCUUAUUUAAAUGGCCGCAGUACCUUGACUGUGCUAAGGUAGCAUAAUCAAUUGGCUUCUAAUUAAAGUCUGGAAUGAAAGGAAAAAUGGGGUAGUUCUGUCUUAAGAAAUUUUUUUUGAAUUUAUUUAAAUGAUGAAAAUAUCAUUUUUUAGAAAAAAGACGAGAAGACCCUUAGAGUUUUCAAUUUUUUUUUGUUGGGGCGACAAGUAAACAAUUAAACUUUACUAGUGUAAUAAAUCGAUUUUUUAUAAGAAUAAUUAAACUACCUUAGGGAUAACAGCAUUAUAUAUUUUAUGAUUGUGACCUCGAUGUUGGACUAGGAACUUUAUGGCUAGCCGUCAAAAAAGAUUUGUUCUGUUCGAACAAUAUUAUCCUAC
rnacentral:rRNA from 1 species